AUGCAAGGCAUUACAAAGGCCAUUAAAACUACAACCAAAGGAAAAGACUUGGAAUUUUCAAAUGAAAAUAGAGUGAAACAAUGGAGAGGUGCAUUUCUUAAAAUAUUUUUCGUGUUUCAAAUCGCCUCAUUACAAAAUGAAAGACUCACUACACUUUCAAAAUCAUUACAUCGUCACAAUUCCUUUACACCAUACCAAGAAAUACAUCAAUUUUGUUCAAGAAUAAUCCUAAUGUCCUAA